rnacentral:rRNA from 1 species
CUUACCUACGGGGGGCAGCAGUGGGGAAUAUUGCACAAUGGGGGAAACCCUGAUGCAGCGACGCCGCGUGAGUGAAGAAGUAAUUCGUUAUGUAAAGCUCUGUCAGCAGGGAAGAAAAUGACGGUACCUGAGUAAGAAGCCCCGGCUAACUACGUGCCAGCAGCCGCGGUAAUACGUAGGGGGCGAGCGUUAUCCGGAUUUACUGGGUGUAAAGGGAGCGUAGACGGCAGUGCAAGUCUGGAGUGAAAGGCGGGGGAUCAAC